rnacentral:rRNA from 1 species
ACUCCUACGGGAGGCAGCAGUGAGGAAUAUUGGUCAAUGGUCGCAAGACUGAACCAGCCAUGCCGCGUGCAGGAAGACGGUCCUAUGGAUUGUAAACUGCUUUUUAUACAGGAAGAAACCCUCCCACGUGUGGGAGCUUGACGGUACUGUAGGAAUAAGGAUCGGCUAACUCCGUGCCAGCAGCCGCGGUAAUACGGAGGAUCCAAGCGUUAUCCGGAAUCAUUGGGUUUAAAGGGUCCGUAGGCGGCCUUAUAAGUCAGUGGUGAAAGCCCCAUCGCUCAACGAUGGAACUGCCAUUGAUACUGUAAGGCUUGAAUUAUUGUGAAGUAACUAGAAUAUGUAGUGUAGCGGUGAAAUGCUUAGAUAUUACAUGGAAUACCAAUUGCGAAGGCAGGUUACUAACAAUGGAUUGACGCUGAUGGACGAAAGCGUGGGAGCGAACAGGAUUAGAUACCCCUGGUAGGAUAGCG